ensembl:lncRNA
CUCUGAUAACUGACUCUUUGCCUGUAUUUCCCGUUUCUUGCUGUAAUUCCUGCUCUUGUUUUAAAUUCAGCAAUACCGGGUGAACCUACCCCACCCCCCACCCUAAACGCCAAUAAAAGCAGAACCCCAGAUUCUCCCCUUCUCUCUCCCUGUCCCCUCCUCCCCUCCCUCUCUCCAAACACACACACACACACACACACACACACACACACAGCCCCACUGUGUAGCCCCAUGCGUGCGCUGUGCCUUCUGGGAUCUGUGCGUAAUAAAACUUGUCCUUUCAAAGUUUCCCGUGAUUAUUGCUCAGGGAUGUUUUGCAAUCAUAGUAACAACCACAAGGGCCAGUCCAAAAUUGGCUCUGGAAAGAGCAACAGCUGUGAGCCCAGGUGAGUGCCUGAGGCAUUUCUAGCCGACAGCAUUACCAUCCCUAGGCUGAGAUCCACACAAAACCCCUCCCCAUCCAAUCCCACUGACUACCUGAUUGGCCUACCUAUAUCCAGUUAAGGUGACAAUUAGCCCAGCCUAGCUGGCCAGGUGAAUAAAGAGGGGCAGAUAAGACGGACAGGAGAUGGAGCUUGGUAUUCCAGAACCGGUAUGCCUAAUAGGUUGCAAGAAUUUCAGGAAGCAAGAAACAACUCAAACAAGUGGUCCAAACUCAGGACAAUCUACAUGCUCAUCAGGGAAAUCUGCAGAGAUGGAAAGCUUCCAUUUUCUUUGCAAUACACUGAGCAUCCGAGGCACCAAAGAUUUACUUCAAAGGAAAAUGGUGCAACAAGUCCUUUUCUGUGAUUACAACGGGAGCAUUAACACACAUUCCUCAGAACCACAUGCAGGGUUUUAUUUCCUUGGAGGUGGUAGUUUCCAGGCCCGGAGACCUGAAUCAAAAGCAUGUUAUAAGGUCAUCCAGCAAGAGACUGAAGGCCAGUGUGAGGCCUGGUAUCCCUACUCAUGCUAGUCAACAUUCUGUGGACACCUGUGAUCCUUCUGGAACCAUUCCAAAGCCUUGGAAUCUCAUCAUGAACAGCUAAAACUGUGAGUAAGCAUCUGGCUGAAUCAGGGGCAGCUCUUGCGGGGAGGGGGCAGCAGGGAAACAACCAUCCUGCUGCUUGGUGCACUCGUUCCACAGCUGGCCCUAAUGAGCCAUUUAUUUGUUGACCUUGGACUAGUUGCUGAAGAAUGAUGGAUGGAGAAGCAUCCACUGGGGUGACUGUGAAGGCAGCUUUCUCUCCUGAGUAAUGAUCUGUUCUUUCAAGGCAGCUGUGAUUUCAACCCAAGGUCUCUGACCCAAGUAGAAGCAUCAGUGCAAUAAAUGCAUUAAGAAGCCAAGGCCA